GAGGAAUAUUGGUCAAUGGGCGAGAGCCUGAACCAGCCAAGUAGCGUGCAGGACGACGGCCCUAUGGGUUGUAAACUGCUUUUGUAUGGGGAUAAAGUCAAUCACGUGUGAUUGUUUGCAGGUACCAUACGAAUAAGGACCGGCUAAUUCCGUGCCAGCAGCCGCGGUAAUACGGAGGGUCCGGGCGUUAUCCGGAUUUAUUGGGUUUAAAGGGAGCGUAGGCUGGAGAUUAAGUGUGUUGUGAAAUGUAGACGCUCAACGUCUGACUUGCAGCGCAUACUGGUUUCCUUGAGUACGCACAACGUUGGCGGAAUUCGUCGUGUAGCGGUGAAAUGCUUAGAUAUGACGAAGAACUCCGAUUGCGAAGGCAGCUGACGGGAGCGCAACUGACGCUGAAGCUCGAAGGUGCGGGUAUCGAACAGGAUUAGAUACCCUGGUAGUCCGCACAGUAAACGAUGGAUGCCCGCUGUUGGUACCUGGUAUCAGCGGCUAAGCGAAAGCAUUAAGCAUCCCACCUGGGGAGUACGCCGGCAACGGUG
rnacentral:rRNA from 1 species